AAUAAACGCUGGCGGCGUGCCUAACACAUGCAAGUCGAGCGAGAAAGUUCCUUCGGGAGCAAGUAAAGCGGCGGACGGGUGAGUAACGCGUGAGAAUUUACCCUUUAGUAAGGAAUACCUCUGAGAAAUCAGGGCUAAUACUGCAUAAGUCCCUACGGGGAGAAAGGUGGCCUAUUUGCUGCCGCUAAAGGAUAAGCUUGCGGGCUAUUAGCUAGUUGGUGAGGUAAAGGCUCACCAAGGCGAUGAUGGCUAGCCGGCCUGAGAGGGUGUACGGCCACACUGGAACUUAGACACGGUCCAGACUCCUACGGGAGGCAGCAGUGAGGAAUAUUGCGCAAUGGGCGAAAGCCUGACGCAGCGACGCCGCGUGGAGGAUGAAGGUCUUCGGAUUGUAAACUUCUGUUAAGUGGGAAGGAAGAUUUAUCCCUAAUAUGGAUAAAGGAUGACGGUACCAUUAGAGAAAGCACCGGCUAACUUCGUGCCAGCAGCCGCGGUAAU
rnacentral:rRNA from 1 species